rnacentral:tRNA from 1 species
GGGGCUGUGGGGUAGCUUGGUUAUCCUUCGAGGUUUGGGACCUUGUGACCCCGGUUCGAAUCCGGGCAGCCCCA